GACGAACGCUGGAGGCGUGCCUAAUACAUGCAAGUUGAGCGAUGAAGAUUGGUGCUUGCACCAAUUUGAAGAGCAGCGAACGGGUGAGUAACGCGUGGGGAAUCUGCCUUUGAGCGGGGGACAACAUUUGGAAACGAAUGCUAAUACCGCAUAACAACUUUAAACAUAAGUUUUAAGUUUGAAAGAUGCAAUUGCAUCACUCAAAGAUGAUCCCGCGUUGUAUUAGCUAGUUGGUGAGGUAAAGGCUCACCAAGGCGAUGAUACAUAGCCGACCUGAGAGGGUGAUCGGCCACAUUGGGACUGAGACACGGCCCAAACUCCUACGGGAGGCAGCAGUAGGGAAUCUUCGGCAAUGGACGAAAGUCUGACCGAGCAACGCCGCGGGAGUGAAGAAGGUUUUCGGAUCGUAAAACUCUGUUGGUAGAGAAGAACGUUGGUGAGAGUGGAAAGCUCAUCAAGUGACGGUAACUACCCAGAAAGGGACGGCUAACUACGUG
rnacentral:rRNA from 1 species